rnacentral:rRNA from 1 species
UACGUAGGGUGCGAGCGUUAAUCGGAAUUACUGGGCGUAAAGCGUGCGCAGGUGGUUAUGUAAGCCAGAUGUGAAAUCCCCGAGCUUAACUUGGGAACUGCAUUUGGGACUGCAUGGCUAGAGUGUGGCAGAGGGGGGUGGAAUUCCGCGUGUAGCAGUGAAAUGCGUAGAGAUGCGGAGGAACACCGAUGGCGAAGGCAGCCCCCUGGGCUAACACUGACACUAAUGCACGAAAGCGUGGGGAGCAAACAGG